CCUACGUGAGGCAGCAGUGGGGACUAUUGGGCAAUGGACGCAAGUCUGACCCAGCAACGCCGCGUGAAGGAAGAAGGCUUUCGGGUUGUAAACUUCUUUUAAGGGGGAAGAGCAGAAGACGGUACCCCUUGAAUAAGCCACGGCUAACUACGUGCCAGCAGCCGCGGUAAUACGUAGGUGGCAAGCGUUAUCCGGAUUUAUUGGGUUUAAAGGGUGCGUAGGCGGGCUGUUAAGUCAGCGGUAAAAGCCCGGGGCUCAACCCCGGCGAGCCGUUGAAACUGGCUGUCUUGAGAUGUCGAGAGGUAUGCGGAAUGCGCAGUGUAGCGGUGAAAUGCUUAGAUAUUGCGCAGAACUCCGAUUGCGAAGGCAGCAUACCGGCGGCGAUCUGACGCUGAGGCACGAAAGCGUGGGUAUCGAACAGGAUUAGAUACCCCAGUAGUC
rnacentral:rRNA from 1 species